rnacentral:rRNA from 1 species
GACGAACGCUGGCGGCGUGCCUAAUACAUGCAAGUCGAACGCUUCUUUUUCCACCGGAGCCUGCUCCACCGGAAAAAGAGGAGUGGCGAACGGGUGAGUAACACGUGGGUAACCUGCCCAUCAGAAGGGGAUAACACUUGGAAACAGGUGCUAAUACCGUAUAACAAUCGAAACCGCAUGGUUUUGAUUUGAAAGGCGCUUUCGGGUGUCGCUGAUGGAUGGACCCGCGGUGCAUUAGCUAGUUGGUGAGGUAACGGCUCACCAAGGCCACGAUGCAUAGCCGACCUGAGAGGGUGAUCGGCCACAUUGGGACUGGGACACGGCCCAAACUCCGACGGGAGGCAGCAGUAGGGAAUCUUCGGCAAUGGACGAAAGUCUGACCGAGCAACGCCGCGUGAGUGAAGAAGGUUUUCGGAUCGUAAAACUCUGUUGUUAGAGAAGAACAAGGAUGAGAGUAACUGUUCAUCCCUUGACGGUAUCUAACCAGAAAGCCACGGCUAACUACGUGCCAGCCGCCGCGGUAA